AGUGAACGCUGGCGUAGGCCUAACACAUGCAAGUCGAACGGCAGCACAGGAGAGCUUGCUCUCUGGGUGGCGAGUGGCGGACGGGUGAGGAAUACAUCGGAAUCUACCUUUCGUGGGGGAUAACGUAGGGAAACUUACGCUAAUACCGCAUAAGACCUUCGGGUGAAAGCAGGGGACCUUCGGGCCUUGCGCGGAUAGAUGAGCCGAUGUCGGAUUAGCUUGUUGGCGGGGUAAAAGCCCACCAAGGCGACGAUCCGUAGCUGGUCUGAGAGGAUGAUCAGCCACACUGGAACUGAGACACGGUCCAGACUCCUACGGGAGGCAGCAGUGGGGAAUAUUGGACAAUGGGCGCAAGCCUGAUCCAGCCAUACCGCGUGGGUGAAGAAGGCCUUCGGGUUGUAAAGCCCUUUUGUUGGGAAAGAAAACUUGCGGGCUAAUACCCAGCAAGUCUGACGGUACCCAAAGAAUAAGCACCGGCUAACUUCGUG
rnacentral:rRNA from 1 species